CUCGUCCGAGGGGGACGCGAGGACUGUCCUCGCUGCCGUCGUGGGCAGUGUGUCUGGCCAGGCCCUGACAAGCGAAGCCCGCGGAGCGCCAAGGAACCGGAGCCGGAGCCCGGCGAUCGCAGCCUGCAGCUCCCGCCUCGCCGUCCCGGGGAGGGGGCGUCUCGCCUCGCACCCCCGCCUCUGGACUUGUGCCCCUUUCUCUGCGCGUGCGGACGGAACCAGCGCUUAGGCCGGAGCGAGCCCGGGGGCCGCCGGCCGGGAAGGCACCGCGGGCACCGAUUCGCUAUG
rnacentral:other from 1 species